UUAUUAAGUUCGGUGUUUAUAAUUUUAUAAAUUCUACAAUAUUUUCUGUUUUUGCGCAAUAACAUAACCCUAAUCUUGAAAUUGGUAAAGUUCGACAACUAAGCAUAAUCAAACUAUUAAACGUUCUUUUCGUUUUCGCAACAUAACCUUUAUUAUUUUAACCUGCAAAGUGGCUGAAUAAUAUUAAAUACAUAAUAACUAAUAAUAAUAACUAAUACGUUUUCGGUAACUUAAUGUUAAAUUAAAGUUUUUAUUUUGUUUGUGGUUUUAUGACAAUGUGCGGGUUUAAAAAUGAUAUUAUUUAAACGCUUAGUUUAGUCAUUCUUGACAAAAUGUGUGUUGGAGAUCAUAGUGUUUCCUAACGAGCGGGUUUUUUAAUAUAGAGUGAUACAAUACACGUGCUCGACCUUUUGCUGUCUCCUGUUACUGAAUUGUGAAUGUCAUUUGAUAUAAAAUGGUGUGCAGCAGAGUUUAGCAUUGAUAAGGAACUCUCUGAAAUCGAGUAGGAUGGAGUUGGAAGGCACACAUUUUGACGGAAGCCAUCCGCAUGUAU